CUUGUUUCCACUAUAGAAAUCAGCACCUACCCUGAUGGAAUAGUAUGUGUUGGAGGAGAUGGCAUUGUGAAUGAGGUACUUAAUGGUCUUCUGAGCAGAGAUAACCAGAAGGAAGCACUUUCUAUUCCAAUUGGCAUCAUUCCUGCUGGUUCAGACAAUUCACUAGUCUGGACUAUUUUGGGGGUCAGGGAUCCUAUUUCUGCUGCAAU